UAGUCGAUGGGAAACAGGUUAAUAUUCCUGUACUUGGUGUUACUGCGAAGGGGGGACGGAGAAGGCUAUGUUGGCCGGGCGACGGUUGUCCCGGUUUAAGCGUGUAGGCUGGUUUUCCAGGCAAAUCCGGAAAACCAAGGCUGAGGCGUGAUGACGAGGCACUACGGUGCUGAAGCGACAAAUGCCCUGCUUCCAGGAAAAGCCUCUAAGCAUCAGGUAACAUCAAAUCGUACCCCAAACCGACACAGGUGGUCAGGUAGAGAAUACCAAGGCGCUUGAGAGAACUCGGGUGAAGGAACUAGGCAAAAUGGUGCCGUAACUUCGGGAGAAGGCACGCUGAUAUGUAGGUGAAGCGACUUGCUCGUGGAGCUGAAAUCAGUCGAAGAUACCAGCUGGCUGCAACUGUUUAUUAAAAACACAGCACUGUGCAAACACGAAAGUGGACGUAUACGGUGUGACGCCUGCCCGGUGCCGGAAGGUUAAUUGAUGGGGUUAGCGGCAACGCGAAGCUCUUGAUCGAAGCCCCGGUAAACGGCGGCCGUAACUAUAACGGUCCUAAGGUAGCGAAAUUCCUUGUCGGGUAAGUUCCGACCUGCACGAAUGGCGUAAUGAUGGCCAGGCUGUCUCCACCCGAGACUCAGUGAAAUUGAACUCGCUGUGAAGAUGCAGUGUACCCGCGGCAAGACGGAAAGACCCCGUGAACCUUUACUAUAGCUUGACACUGAACAUUGAGCCUUGAUGUGUAGGAUAGGUGGGAGGCUUUGAAGUGUGGACGCCAGUCUGCAUGGAGCCGACCUUGAAAUACCACCCUUUAAUGUUUGAUGUUCUAACGUUGGCCCCUAAUCGGGGUUGCGGACAGUGUCUGGUGGGUAGUUUGACUGGGGCGGUCUCCUCCUAAAGAGUAACGGAGGAGCACGAAGGUUGGCUAAUCCUGGUCGGACAUCAGGAGGUUAGUGCAAUGGCAUAAGCCAGCUUGACUGCGAGCGUGACGGCGCGAGCAGGUGCGAAAGCAGGUCAUAGUGAUCCGGUGGUUCUGAAUGGAAGGGCCAUCGCUCAACGGAUAAAAGGUACUCCGGGGAUAACAGGCUGAUACCGCCCAAGAGUUCAUAUCGACGGCGGUGUUUGGCACCUCGAUGUCGGCUCAUCACAUCCUGGGGCUGAAGUAGGUCCCAAGGGUAUGGCUGUUCGCCAUUUAAAGUGGUACGCGAGCUGGGUUUAGAACGUCGUGAGACAGUUCGGUCCCUAUCUGCCGUGGGCGCUGGAGAACUGAGGGGGGCUGCUCCUAGUACGAGAGGACCGGAGUGGACGCAUCACU
rnacentral:rRNA from 1 species